rnacentral:pre_miRNA from 1 species
CUCGGGGGGGGGGGGAUCCCUCAGCCCAGAUUGCAAGAGGGUGCAGACCAGGUCAAGGGACUCCACUGUUUCACA